rnacentral:sRNA from 1 species
GCCAGGCAUGGUGGCACAUGCCUGUAAUCCCAGCUACUCGGGAGGCUGAGGCAGGAGACUCACUUGAACCCAGGUGGCAGAGGUUGCAGUGAGCUGAGAUAGCACCACUGCACUCCAGCCUGGGCAACAGAGUGAGACUCUGCCUCAA